rnacentral:rRNA from 1 species
AAUAUUGGACAAUGGGGGCAACCCUGAUCCAGCCAUGCCGCGGGUGUGAAGAAGGUCUUCGGAUUGUAAAGCACUCUAAGUUGAGGGGAAGGGCUGUAGGUUAAUACCCUCAAGUUUUGACGUUACCAAAAGAAUAAGCACCGGCUAACUCUGUGCCAGCAGCCGCGGUAAUACAGAGGGUGAAAGGGUUAAUCGGUAUUACUGGUCGUAAAGCGCGCGUAGGUGGUUCAGUAAGAUGGGUGUGAAAUCCCCGGGCUUAACCUGGGAACUGCUUUCAUAACUGCUGAGCUAGAGUACGGUAGAGGGUAGUGGAAUUUCCUGUGUAGCGGUGAAAUGCGUAGAUAUAGGAAGGAACACCAGUGGCGAAGGCGACUACCUGGACUGAUACUGACACUGAGGUGCGAAAGCGUGGGGAGCAAA